rnacentral:rRNA from 1 species
UACAUGGGGUGCAAACGUUGCUCGGAAUUAUUGGGCGUAAAGAGCUCGUAGGUGGCGUGUCGCGUCUGCCGUGAAAGCCCAUGGCUUAACUGUGGGUCUGCGGUGGAUACGGGCAGGCUGGAGGCUGGUAGGGGCAAGCGGAAUUCCUGGUGUAGCGGUGAAAUGCGCAGAUAUCAGGAGGAACACCGGUGGCGAAGGCGGCUUGCUGGGCCAGUUCUGACGCUGAGGAGCGAAAGCGUGGGGAGCGAACAGG